GCAGCCAUAUGUUGAAACACUGGUUCCCAUACGAUCACUGAAGCUAAACAACAUUGAGCUUGUUUAGUACCUAGAUGGGUGACCGCUUGGGAAUAUCAGGUGAUGUA